rnacentral:rRNA from 1 species
CCCUUUGUUUAAUCUACCAUGUUGCUUUGGCGGGCCCGCCCCUUCUGGGGGCCGCCGGGGGUUUUAUUUCCCUUGGCCAGUGCUUGCCAGAUGCCUAUUUAAAUUCUUUUUAUAACUGUGAUGUCUGAAAAUAAAUUUUAAAUCGUUAAAACUUUCAACAACGGAUCUCUUGGUUCUGGCAUCGAUGAAGAACGCAGCGAAAUGCGAUAAGUAAUGCGAAUUGCAGAAUUCAGUGAGUCAUCGAAUCUUUGAACGCACAUUGCGCCCUUUGGUAUUCCGAAGGGCAUGCCUGUUCGAGCGUCAUUAUCAACCCUCAAGCCUGGCUUGUUAUUGGACUCUGUCGCAGGUUACCCGCGACAGGUUUAAAAGAUAACGAUGGUGUCUGUCCGACCCUAGAUGCAACGAGCUUUUUAUGGCACGCAUCGAAGUGGUUGGCAGGCCCGGUCUGAACUAUUUUUCUUUUAAGGUUGACCUCGGAUCAGGUAGGAAUACCCGCUGAACUUAAGCAUAUCA